GAUGAACGCUGGCGGCGUGCCUAAUACAUGCAAGUCGAGCGAAUGGAUUAAGAGCUUGCUCUUAUGUAGUUAGCGGCGGACGGGUGAGUAACACGUGGGUAACCUGCCCAUAAGACUGGGAUAACUCCGGGAAACCGGGGCUAAUACCGGAUAACAUUUUGAACCGCAUGGUUCGAAAUUGAAAGGCGGCUUCGGCUGUCACUUAUGGAUGGACCCGCGUCGCAUUAGCUAGUUGGUGAGGUAACGGCUCACCAAGGCAACGAUGCGUAGCCGACCUGAGAGGGUGAUCGGCCACACUGGGACUGAGACACGGCCCAGACUCCUACGGGAGGCAGCAGGAGGGAAUCUUCCGCAAUGGACGAAAGUCUGACGGAGCAACGCCGCGUGAGUGAUGAAGGCUUUCGGGUCGUAAAACUCUGUUGUUAGGGAAGAACAAGUGCUAGUUGAAUAAGCUGACACCUUGACGGUACCUAACCAGAAAGCCACGGCUAACUACGUGCCAGCAGCCGCGGUAA
rnacentral:rRNA from 1 species